CCAAGUUCAGAAACACCUGCAUUUUUUCGAACCAUCCAUGAUAACAGAAGUUGCAUUCAUCAUAGAGAAUCAAAAGCCAUUUGAGAUUGUCAACAGAAUUUUAACAGAAUAAUCAAUUUAACAAACUAACUAACUAACAGAGUUUCAACGGUUAACAAAUUUGGUGGGAGAAGAGAUUAACAGAGUUAACGAAAUCACUUCAUAGAAACUCUAUAAAUUGGCAGUUCUCACCAUUGGCUCGAGCCACGAGUUUUCUUCACUUUUUCAAUCUUUCUCUUCACUCUUUCUCUUAUCUCUUCAUUCUGUUCUGCACCCUUCACUCUGCAACCGUAACAACCAUACGCUACCUGCAAUCUUCAGCAUCCAUUGAUUCUGCAAAACUCAGUUUCUUUUUCAUUCUUGUUCAUACUCCCUGCAAAUCUCCAUCUCUCGCCCUUAUUCAACUUCUGCAGAUUUUCACUAACCUGCAUCGCGGAUACACAACGCAUCAACAAUAAUGGUAACCGCAGAAAAAUGAAGAAGAAGAAGGUAGAGGAAGCUCGAAUAAAUUGAAGAAGCGAGACGAAGAGGAAGAGAUGAAACAUUACCUAUGAAAUUUAUUUCGAAGAAUCACUGCGUUGAAUCCUGGUACGUCUUCUGCAGAUAUUCUUUAUUAAGCUAGGUCGCCUUUAUCGGAUACCGAUUUCGUUCGAUCUUGUGUGAGUCCAAGCCUCGCGAAGCUUCCAAUCUCAGAAGUGCCGAAAUCGACAAACAACAUCCUUCACGAACGGGUGGAACGAUGCAAACACGACUGCAGGAAAUGGUUGAAAGAUUCAGAUUGAGAAUGAGAGAUUGUGUAUGGCCUCCGGAUUGUCUUCGCCUUCGAUGGAGAUAUCCAGGUCGCGUUUUAGGAAUAAGUGUUAGCUAGGAUCGGAGUCGUAUUGGACUCCGGUUGCAGUGAUUCGGAGAAGAUGAUGAUGAAUCCGAACCAAUUCGGAUUGUGAUGAUGGCGAAAACGACUUCGAAACAACGCGAUCCAGGUGUGCAGUGAAGACCGUGGAGUUUUGGUGUUGAGAAUGGCUUGGGUCCGUUUUUUUUGGUUUGUAGAGUUUGGGCUUAAGGCCCAAACUUCUUCCAGUUCAUACCUUCAUCCAAGCUUCCACACCUCCCGCCUCUAUUCACACUAAUUAAGGCUUAAUUCCAAUUAAUUUUAAUUAGUUUGAGUUAAUUUUAAUCAGUUUUUCAUACCAGAUUUUUGUACUUGGUUGUGUAGAAUAAUGUGUUAAAUUUAGGAAUAGGUUAAUUAAUUUUGGCUCUUAAUUAAAUUGACUUGUUUUUAG
rnacentral:lncRNA from 1 species